ACAAAGAAAUUGGUAGGGUGAUAAUAGCCACACCAUUUAUUUUGCAUUAAGUAAUUGUUCCAGAUUCAUUUAAAGAAAAAAAAAAAGUACUAAUAAACGAAAACGACAUUCAUAGCGGAGUCGUUUAUAUUUUUUUUGGUUAGAGUACAGAAAAAUGGUGGAACCGUGGAACUAAUAUUUUUGGUUCCCAACUCCCAUGGAAACCAAAUAUUUGCUUCUCUGACAUCCAUUCACCUGAAAAAUGGGUGAAGAUCAUAUAUUUCAAGGUCAUCAAUGGCUUACUGAUUGUUGUGACUCUUGCGCUGGGGAGCUCUUCCCAGGCACUUCAUACUGACUCGAAUCUGCAUAGGCUUCUUUUCGCUUUGCAUUGAUGUAUGUUUGCUUGUUUUUAUGCAUGGGCAAAUACUGUUAUGUGCUACUUCAACUGCCCAUGAUGACUGGUGGCUCCUCCAUGUUCAUCAAUACGUGUGCAGUACUGCAGUUACAGGCAUUUGUGAGUGAUGAAAGGAAAAAGAUCCUCAAUGGAAGACACUGGACCUGUCAGUUGCAUUGCAUGGACGUCUGAUAAUUCUGCUUUUGCAGUCGGGUGGAAGUUAAGAGGACUUACAUUUUGGUCUAUCUCUGGUUGUCGUUUGAUUUCAACAAUCCGUCAAAUAGUGGGAUGAAUAUGGAUACAGGCUCUAUGCUAUUGAAGAACGAUCGUUGGAGAGUAUUCUUGGAUUUUUAUUCGGUAAAUGUUGCCUUAAUAGAGGAGUUUCAGGCAUGACAUAUGUCCGGCAAGUGAUAUAUGGUGAUGAUCGGUUGCUUGUUGUUUUGUCUGAAGAUACUGAUGAACUUAAGAUGCUACAUCUUAACCUUCCAGUUUCUUAUAUCUCACAAAAUUGGUCAGUUCAGCAUGUAGCGGCUAGCAAGGAUGGAAUGUACUUGGCAAUUGCUGAUCUCCAUGGGUUAAUCAUGUACAACACGAUUCAAGAAGUGGUGUAUUUGGAGACAUUACUCAGGAACAGAAGAUUCAGAGCAACGUUUUGUUAUGGGUGAGGAAGAUUGUUGCUGUCUGCAACUACAUUGAUUCUACUAACACAUAUGAAUUGCUUUUCUAUCCAAGAUAUCACCUUGAUCAGAGCUCACUACUUUGCUGAAAGUGAUUGCUUGCGAAACCAAUGGUCAUCGAUGUCUAUCAAGAUUAUAUACUAGUCACAUAUCGCCCAUUUGAUGUACACAUAUUCCAUGUGAAAUUAUUUGGUGAGUUGACGCCUUUCACUACUCCAAAUUUAGAGGUAAAUUAAUAUUUCUUAAAUAUUUUUUUAUAGUUUUAUAUUAUUGGUUAUUUACUUAUUUAUUUUUUCUAUUAGCAGAUAGGCUGUAUAUGAUGAUUUCAUUUGCACAUAAAUAAAACUAAUGUAAUGAAAUUAAUUCUUCAUACAUUUUUAAGUGAUAAAAUGACAAACAGCUUUCUACAGUAUGAGAACUCUCAAUCAGUCAAUCAUGACUGCAAAGAGCCAUCCUGCAGCCAUACGUUUUGUUCCAGAUCAGCUUCCGAGAGAUCACAUUUCAGAUAAUCAUAUGUCUAACUCAGAUCCUUUACUAAAAGAGCCUGCAAGCUAUGUGCUCUUCCAAAAUGGUUUAUUUAGAUCUUAAUAUUUGUAGUGAUAACUGCAGACACAUGACUCUUAAUAGAUGUUUGGGUUACAUGUGGUCAAUCAGAGGAAAAAUCAAAUCUUAUUGAGAAAAAUUUCAUGGUUAGAUUAUGGCCACCGCGGAAUGCAGGUAAUUAACUGCUGAGGUUUCAUAUCACGGCUUUGAUGUCAUGUCAAAGUUUGUUAUUGCUUAUUUAUGAGCUCUAUCAACAGCAAUUUGUACUUGUCUGAUAUUUAUUCUGGUUGGAAGUUUAUUUUUACAGGUUUGGUAUCCAUCUCUGGGUGUUGACCCUUUUAUGCAGGAGGAUUUCUUGCAGGUAUGCUUGUAUUUAAGAGAGAAUGUAUAUGAUGUGGCUUUUUGAAAGAUUGUAUGGACUAGAGAUGUGAAUUUUUGUAUAACAUGUUCCUCUCAUUAUCAAUUUUUCAUUUAUGAUGAUAAGCAUAUAAUUCUUUUUUUUCUUUUGGCCUUCAUUCAAAGGCUUUAUAUUUGGACUUCUCUCGUUCUUAGAUAUUUUAAGCAAAGAUUAUUUUGCCUCUGUUUAACAGAGAUAUUGGUCUUUAGUUCUGAUUGGAUGUAGCUUAAUGGAGCUUGAAUUUGAUUGUGAGGUAUACCCUCUGGGACUUCUUCCAAAGCUGGGGUUGUUGUCGGUGUUUUACAGAGAAUGUCAUUUUCAGCCUGCAGAGAGUUUCCAUUUUUUGAGCCAACACCUCAAGCUCAAACUAUAUUACAUUGUCUUCUAAGGCACCUUAUUCAGGUAAUAGUUGCCUUUUUACUUUUGAUUUGGGGCGGGGGUUACAUAUCAUAUAGAAAACUUGAUAUUCUGAAUUCACAUAGGCUUCUUUUCUGACCUCAAACUUUGCCCUUCGUUUGCUUUUUCUGGUCAAAAGUGGCUUAAUCACAAGUACUUCAUUGUAUAAAGUCAUAAUCUGCACAUGGGAUCUAUAUUAUUUAAAAAAACCAUCUUCGCCAACCAGCAGAAAAAAACCAUCUAUAUUAUUCAAUUAUCAGCAGAAAAACCUCAUUUCUCUCAUUGUAUGGAGUGGCUUCUGUUUACUGUAUUUGAUCGGACAUAUCCAGGUAAACUUAAUUAGGGAAAGCUAAAUCAUAUCACAUGUAUAAGGGCUUGAGCACCAAUUUUGUUUUCAGAGUAAUUAUUGUCCAUUAAUUAUCGGUAAAAGCUUUCAUUGAACCAAAAAUUUAUGCUGAUCUACUUUGCAUUUGGUUUCCUAAGUAAACCAUCUAAUGGCUAUAAAUUCUGCUUGAUCGAAUAGACUUGUAACACUGGAUCCUCUCAACCCUCAGUUGGUAGGAACCAUGAACAAGAACAGGUUAGGUGGUAUGGCUAUUGUUAAUAGUUUACUGUUGUUAUUGAUUUUAUGGGCAUGUUUAGAUGCUUGCCUCACACUUCCAUCAAUUGCUUUUUGAAGAAACUGUAGGACCGUGCAAGGUUUUAACUUGGUAAAAGGAAAUGAUUGAAUGAUUGAGGAAUGAAUUCUUCUAGUUGAAUGAGUGAGAUGCAAUUGGUUCAUAUAAGGUGUUUUGGAGUCUGGGGUACCUGAGUGUGCCAUGGUGUCCUUUACUAAUCUAGUAAUGUAAUCUGGAUAAACUGUGCAAUAUGUUUGUGUUUUUGCCAUAUGGUAAAGUUAAAAAUGAUUAAUUCUAUCUUUUCCUGUUCAUCCAUAUGUUUCUGGUCACUUAAUAUAAUUAUUUUCAGGCAAAGUGCUCUGUGCUUAACUAUGCAAAGAAUUCCUCUCUUUCAGAGAAGACUACGAUAUUCUUAGAAAUUUUCUGGAGUAUUUUGAUGUGGUUGUCAGUGUUGCAAGAAAAACUGAUGGUCGACAUUGGGCGGAUUUGUGCACUGCUGCUGGGUGAUCAACAGAGUUCUUUGAGGAAUGCUUCCAAUGUAGGGCCCCGCACUGCUGUGUGCUAUACACUUGUAAGAUAGUGAUCGAGUAAUUGUGGUUCGGUUUUGUUUCUUUUUCCUUGUUUGUUGACAUAAGGUUUCCCUCACUAGGAGAAUUACUUCUAAUUUUUCUCAUUAUAAAUAAGAAUGUUGUACACUUUUGUUAUAAGGGGGAUUAUAAGUGGGAUUUCAGUUUAGUGUAACAACCAAUAUUUCUUUGGAUACAUUUCUCUAAUAAGAAGCUUUUCCAGUGAAUUGCAUAUGCCUCUAUGGUACUUCGUGCAGUGUGAUUAACACAUUUCUUGGAAGAGGUGCACUUGUUGAAAUUGAGAAAUACAAUAUUUUGUCCUAAUGUCUGGUUACAAGGCUGUGUGGAUACAAACCCAUUUUCUUUUGAUGACUACUGCAAAAAAGCUUCCAAUUUGUGCUGGUGAAUAGAGAUUACACAAUGGCUAACCACUUUUUGUUAAUUAAAUUACAUUGUUUUGAA